UUUGGAACGAGUUGGAGAAAUAGUUGUCGGCGGUUCGCAAGACAUGAAGAUAAAUCUUUGCACUUCGAUGUAUUAGUAAGAACUUUUGCUUGCUCACUGUCAGAACUUUCUGAGAAUUUUUCCGAAAAAAUGUAACUAUUUCUCGCUCAUUUUUAUUCUCUUUUUGCCCUCAAAUUUUUCGCCGCUUGCGAGGUGAAUGCUGAUGGGAAUUUGGAGUUUACCGUCCCGUCCCGGUCCGGUUCGUUCCGUCGUCGGGAAGCUUCUAUAAGACGUUCUGCCCGCUUCCGUAAUCAUCCGGAGAUCGUUUUCCCGCCAUCGGAUCUCGCGGUUUCAAGUUUUUCCGUCCGGCCGAUCUUUGAAGCACAGCAGUAACCUGUCGUCGCUAUCGAUUGCUGUUUAGGACACGUUCUUGGUGAAAAUGAAUAUAUCCCUCGAUCUUCUUGUUUUUCGGAUGGGUCCUUCAUUGACGCUCAGCAGACGUGGGAUUUGGAGAAUAACGUUGUGAAUAUGGAGGUGCUGGAGUCGGACGCCAUUUUAUUUCUACGACAAGGCGUUGCAGACAAAGAACGCAGAAAGAGAAGCCGUGGAACAACGACCCGCAUUACUUCAAGAAGGCGAUUAAAUCUCCGCAUUGGCGCUCCUGAAGAUGGUGGUUCGUGCACGCUUUGGAGGGACGAUCGAGGUAAUGGGGUUGAUGCAGGGUAAGACCGACGGUGAUACCAUAAUCGUCUUGGACGCGUUUGCGCCCCCUGCGGAAGGGACCGGAACUAGGUGAAUGCGCAGGCGGAUGCUUAUGAGUAGAUGGUUGAUUAUUCACAGACGAACAAACUGGCUGGUGAAAAUGUGGUUGGUUGUCUGGAACCCUUCUUGGCAGUUGUGAGCUUGUGAUAGACCCUAUACGGAUCAUCUCUGCUGGGAAAGUAGAGAUUGGUGCAUUUUGAACAUACCCUCAGGGCUACAUACCUCCUAAUGAACCUGUCUCAGACAGAUCCUCUGAACAAAAUUGAAGAUUUUGGACAUCACUGUAAGCAGUAUUAUGCAUUUUAUAUAACAUAUUUUAACUCCUCUCUGGACUCCCAUUUCCUAGGUAUCCUAUGGAACAAGUAGUGGGUGAAUACCCUUUCUUCUUCUCCAUUAUUGGGAAACAGGGAAUACGUUGCAGGACAAAUUUCAGAUCUUGGUGAGUGCCAAAUACCUGUUAAUGUGAUUACUGUGGAUUUUUUCUUCCUAGCUCCUGUGUUACAUGUUUCUGUUGUUCACCUCUUUUUCUUUCUUUUAUGUAGCUAAAUCUUCUUUCUAUAUGCUGGUUUCUCCAAAUUCCUAUUGCAUCAUGGAAUAUUCAUAAUCCAUAACCCUUCUGCACUUUAAUAGUCUGUACAAUGCUCAAAUAUUUUACCUUCAUAAUGCUUAUCUUGGGCCUUGAAAGUAGAGCUUUGUAUCAUUUUACUUUACUCUCUUAUUUAAUGCUGCAAAUAUAGUUACCAACGUAUCCUUUCUUUAAGGCCUUUAUGUCGAACUUUUUGGGGCAUCAUUGUGAUGUAAGUCCUUUAAUGGUUAAUGUAAGUCUAACUUUAUUUGCCUUAUUAUUUUUAAGGGUAAAUUAAUUUUUUAAUGCUUAACAUCAAACGAGAGAUAAAAAUAAAACAACAAACUCUUGCUCUAAAUGUUGAAAUGAACCUUUAUGAAGGACUAAAGAGUCAUUUACACACACACACACAUAUAUAUCAGUGUCACAAAUUUUGUGAUAUUUUCAAAAAUAUCAUGAUACUAAUGGAAAAAAAGAGAUAAACGAAAAAUGUAAAAAAUAAAUUUAUUGUAUUUUUUUGUUUUUCUUCUUUUUUACAGUUAAUUUCGUCAUGGAAUCAAAUUUACACUUAAGUCAAAUUAUUUAUCAUAGUGUAAUGCUCUUGUUUCUUUUUUCCUUUUGUUCUUGUGCGCAUCGGAGAAAUUGGAACAAACAGAGAACCACCUAUCCCAUUCACGGCUAAGAUCUUUUCCUAUAACUCAAAAGGAAAAGGGAGGUCCAGGACGAAUCUGAACUUCCAAGGAUCAGCUGUGACAGUUCAAAAAUAACUGUUGAACAAGUUCAUAACCUCAUGUCACAGGUCAUCAAGAAUGUUCUGUUCAAUUCAGUUCAUAACUCCAUUAGGGCCCUGCAAAGUUCUGAUGUGCUGCUUUUCCCGGAGCUGAAUAUCUUGCAGUCACACAAGCAUCCAUUUUUUUUUGAGAAGUUGCUGCUGUCAGUGAAUGUUUCUAAGAGCAACAAUCAGAAGAACUUUUUAACAGCUUAAUAGUCUAUUGAUGUAAAUUCUGCUCUCUUGUUUGUCCCAAGGUUGAAUUUUGCUGUUGAUCCCUUCUGAUAGAAUGAAGUGGCUGAUUUUUGGUCCUCUACUAUCAAGCUUUGGUGUAUCAUCAUAAUUGGUCUCACUAAAUGUAGUUUUGCGCUUGCCUUGUCCUCUCA